rnacentral:rRNA from 1 species
GACGAACGCUGGCGGCGUGCUUAACACAUGCAAGUCGAACGGUGAAGCGCCUUCCUUUUUGGUGGGUGUGGAUGAGUGGCGAACGGGUGAGUAACACGUGAGUAACCUGCCCCCUUCUUCUGGAUAACCGCAUGAAAGUGUGGCUAAUACGGGAUAUUCUGAGUCUGUCGCAUGAUGGGUCUGGGAAAGAUAUUGUUUCGGUGGGGGAUGGGCUCGCGGCCUAUCAGCUUGUUGGUGGGGCGAUGGCCUACCAAGGCGGUGACGGGUAGCCGGCCUGAGAGGGUGGACGGUCACACUGGGACUGAGGCACGGCCCAGACUCCUACGGGAGGCAGCAGUGGGGAAUAUUGCACAAUGGGCGCAAGCCUGAUGCAGCGACGCCGCGUGAGGGAUGGAGGCCUUCGGGUUGUGAACCUCUUUCGCCAGUGAAGCAGGCCUGCCUCGUUUGUGGGUGGGUUGACGGUAGCUGGAUAAGAAGCGCCGGCUAACUACGUG